rnacentral:rRNA from 1 species
GAAUCUUGCGCAAUGGGCGAAAGCCUGACGCAGCAACGCCGCGUGAAGGAUGAAGGCCUUCGGGUCGUAAACUUCUGUCGGGCGGAACGAACCUCCCUGGGGUGAACAAUCCCGGGGACUGACGGUACCGCCAAAGGAAGCACCGGCCAACUCUGUGCCAGCAGCCGCGGUAAUACAGAGGGUGCGAGCGUUGUUCGGAAUUACUGGGCGUAAAGCGCGUGUAGGCGGCCUGGCAAGUCGGAUGUGAAAGCCCUGGGCUUAACCCAGGAAGUGCAUUCGAAACUGCCAGGCUCGAGUACGGGAGAGGGAGGUGGAAUUCCCAGUGUAGAGGUGAAAUUCGUAGAUAUUGGGAGGAACACCGGUGGCGAAAGCGACCUCCUGGACCGAUACUGACGCUGAGACGCGAAAGCGUGGGGAGCAAACAG